CGUUUACUUGCGUUUAGCGUCCACUACAUCCCUGGUCUUGAGGUGAGCUAGGACCAGCCUCUCGAAGCACUUCAUGAUGGGGAUGAGUGCAACUGGGCGGAAGUCAGUGGAGUGUUUUGGCACCGGCAAAGUGGAAGUGGCACGCAGGGACAUCUACAUGUCCACUUGUAUUACAAGUUGUGACAACCAAAAAAAUUCAGAUCGUGUCAGCCAACCAAUGGAACAGCGCCUGACAAGGAGAAUGAACAGACUCUGUUCUUUCAGUCACACACCUGCCAAAGAAGUAUCUAGAAGAACAGAAGGUAUGAAUUCAGUAACACAGUUUUAUAGCAUAAUAUCAUUAGAU